UACGUAGGGGGCAAGCGUUGUCCGGAUUUAUUGGGCGUAAAGAGCUCGUAGGCGGCUUGUCGCGUCGACUGUGAAAUCCCGAGGCUCAACUUCGGGCUUGCAGUCGAUACGGGCAGGCUAGAGUUCGGUAGGGGAGACUGGAAUUCCUGGUGUAGCGGUGAAAUGCGCAGAUAUCAGGAGGAACACCGAUGGCGAAGGCAGGUCUCUGGGCCGAAUACUGACGCUGAGGAGCGAAAGCGUGGGGAGCGAACAGG
rnacentral:rRNA from 1 species